CCAUGCCUUAGCCUUCUUCAUCCACCCCUUUUUAAUCAUUUUUGUGUGUGAGAAGUGUUCCUGAUUUUUUCGAGCUCCCGGAUCCUGGUGGCGUCAAAAGGUGAACUUCAUGUAGACGGUGAUCAGAAUCUAUCCAUACAAAACAUCUGUAUAUAAAUCACAGAUGUUGUGAACGAGUGAGAAUUGGCUAUAUGUGGAGGCGGCUCAACGAUUCAUCACUAAAUGGUGGUCCUCAAAUCAUUGGCUCAUCUAUAUUCAAAAUUUCGACUUUCAAAAUAAAGGUGUACUCUACCCAAUUCUUAACAUGUUUCUGUGAUUAUUUGUUUUAUUAGUGUAUAUAAUUUCGUAUGUUUUAGAGUUUUGUCGUAAGAUCUCGGAUUUUCUUACUUUUUGUUUUAUGUUCUGGAGGUGUGUUUUUGUUUUAAUUUUGUCUUUUGAUUUAUCCAGAAGAUGAGAUCGUUGGUGAGUUUCAGUCAAACUUAU
rnacentral:lncRNA from 1 species